rnacentral:lncRNA from 1 species
GAGGAAAAGCUCUUCAUAAGUCAAGUCUUCAUGAACUUGCAAUGGCUCAUACUUUACCAUAUUAUUUAGAUCAGGUACAAAUUUUCUUAGUGGUAAAACAUGAAAGAUAUUAUGCACUUUAGAUAAAUCCGAUGGUAAGGGGAGUUCGUAAGGAACAUCUCCUACUCAGCUCAAAAUUUCAAAAGAUCUAAUAUAUCGCAGACUCAGCUUGCCAUGUCUCCCAAACCUCAUGACACUUUUUGUAGGUGAUACUUUUAGAAAAUUAUGAUCACUGAUCUGAAAUUCUAAUUCUCUUCUUUUUCUAUCUGGCCAACUCUUCUGUCUAUCCUGUACUGCCUUGAGUUUUUUUUUUUAUCAGAUAGAUAUUCUCUUUAGCAUCCAUUUAUUAUUAGUAAAAUCCUUCCUUAUUUACAACUAACGUAUUUCAUAAUAUCUUUUGAUUUAAAGGAUUAAUAUUUCUAAUCAAUUCAGACCAUCACGCUUUUGCUGCGCACUCUGAUCUCAAUUUACCAAAUUAUCUAAGUCUAUCAAAAAUAAAAAUAUUUUUGUAUAUUAAAUC